AUGGCGACCGGCGCACGGGUGCGUAACGCGUAUGCAACCUACCUGUAACAGGGGGAUAACACUGAGAAAUCGGUACUAAUACCGCAUAACGCUGUGAGAGGCAUCUCUUGUGGUUGAAAGUUUCGGCGGUUACAGAUGGGCAUGCGUUGUAUUAGCUGGUUGGUAAGGUAACGGCUUACCAAGGCGACGAUACAUAGGGGGACUGAGAGGUUAACCCCCCACAUUGGUACUGAGACACGGACCAAACUCCUACGGGAGGCAGCAG
rnacentral:rRNA from 1 species